GAUGAAGAACGCAGCGAAAUGCGAUAAGUAAUGUGAAUUACAGAAUUCAGUGAAUCAUCGAAUCUUUGAACGCACCUUGCGCUCCUUGGCAUUCCGAGGAGCAUGCCUGUUUGAGUGUCAUUAAAUUCUCAAGACCUGUCUGCUUUUUUGAUAGGUAUUGGAUUUUGGGGGUUGCAGGCUGUUUCAAAUAAAUAGCCUUGCUCUCCUUGAAUGUAUUAGUGGAGAAAAGCCAUUGAACUCCAUUGGUGUGAUAAAACCUAUCAAUGCCAGGAGCAAUAUCACUACUUCUCUCUGCUGUCUAACUGUGACUGUCUGUAUUAAUUAGUAUGGAUGGGGACAACUUGACCAACUUGACCUCAAAUCAGGUAGGACUACCCGCUGAACUUAAGCAUAUCAAUAAGCGGAGGA
rnacentral:misc_RNA from 1 species